AUACUUACCUAGCAGAUAAUUCUGCUAUGAUCACAAAACUGGUUUCCCCAGGGUGAGGCUUAUCCAUUUGACUCAGGAUGGGCUGACUCCUGCAAUUUUCUCCAAUUCAGGAAACUUGACUGCAUAAUUUGUGGUAAUGGGGGAAAAGUAAAUUAAAAAAAAAUAGCUUG